rnacentral:rRNA from 1 species
CGAACGCUGGCGGCAUGCCUAACACAUGCAAGUCGAACGGAGAUUAUUUCGGUAAUCUUAGUGGCGAACGGGUGAGUAACGCGUAGGCAACCUGCCCUUUAGUUGGGGACAACAUUCCGAAAGGGGUGCUAAUACCGAAUGUGACAGUUAUCUCGCAUGAGAUUACUGUGAAAGAUGGCCUCUAUUUAUAAGCUAUCGCUAAAGGAUGGGCCUGCGUCUGAUUAGCUAGUUGGUGGGGUAAUGGCCUACCAAGGCGAUGAUCAGUAGCCGGUCUGAGAGGAUGAACGGCCACAUUGGGACUGAGACACGGCCCAGACUCCUACGGGAGGCAGCAGUGGGGAAUCUUCCGCAAUGGGCGAAAGCCUGACGGAGCAAUGCCGCGUGAGUGAUGAAGGAAUUCGUUCCGUAAAGCUCUUUUGUUUAUGACGAAUGUGCAGACUGUGAAUAAUGGUUUGUAAUGACGGUAGUAAACGAAUAAGCCACGGCUAACUACGUG